UGCGUGGGCGGUUUUAUAAGUCACUUGUAAAAGAUCUCAGCCCAACUGAGUAAGGCGAGUGAAACUGUAAGACUUGAAUACGGUAGAGGUAAGUGGAAUUCCAUGUGUAGCGGUGGAAUGCGUAGAUAUAUGGAGGAACACCAAUGGCGAAGGCAACUUACUGGGCCGGAAUUGACGCUGAGGCACGAAAGCGUGGGGAGCAAACAGGAUUAGAUACCCUGGUAGUCC
rnacentral:rRNA from 1 species